UACGGAGGGUGCAAGCGUUGUCCGGAUUUAUUGGGUUUAAAGGGUGCGUAGGCGGCCCCUUAAGUCAGUGGUGAAAGCCCGCGGCUCAACCGCGGAACUGCCAUUGAUACUGGGGGGCUUGAGUACAGACGAGGUAGGCGGAAUUGAAGAUGUAGCGGUGAAAUGCUUAGAUAUCUUCAAGAACACCGAUUGCGUAGGCAGCUUACUAGGCUGUAACUGACGCUGAGGCACGAAAGCGUGGGGAGCGAAC
rnacentral:rRNA from 1 species